GCGCUGUUAGUUCAGUGGUUAGAAUUUAUCGUUGCCAACGAUGAGGCCCGGGUUCGAUUCCCGGACAGCGCA
rnacentral:tRNA from 1 species